GGAACAGAGAGAAUAUGUGGUAUUUAAUAGAAAAUAAUAUAAAUCAUGGCGCGCCUUGACCUUUUACCUCGAUUUUUGAUAAGGUGAGGUGAAAACUUUGUCAUAAAAUAUAUUAUUUGUAAUAAUGAUUAUUCCUCUUCUUAUGGCCUCACUAAAAGUAAUACAUAUGUUUAUGAUAAACUUUCCUCCCGAUUCCACUUCUCAUAGCUUGUAAAGACACCUUAUGGAAAACC
rnacentral:lncRNA from 1 species